rnacentral:tRNA from 1 species
CAGUAUAUAGUUUAUUUAAAAUAUUGGCUUUGGAAGCUAAUGAAAUAAUUUCCUUAUUAUACUGA